GCCCCCUAAACCAGUAACAAGCGAGCUUCUAAUCCGCUUGUCGUUGGUUCGAUUCCAACCGGGGGCACCA
rnacentral:tRNA from 2 species